CCUCUCUCCUCCGCGCCGCUCAACCUCACGCCGCCGGCUGUUGGGAACUUGGGAAAACUCUAAUGGCCAUGAUUGAUGAGCCACUAUAUCCGAUUGCUAUCUUAAUAGAUGAGCUGAAAAAUGAAGAUAUUCAGUUGCGAUUGAAUUCCAUUCGCAGACUUUCUACCAUUGCUCGGGCCCUUGGUGAAGAGAGAACCAGAAAGGAAUUGAUUCCGUUUCUCAGUGAAAAUAAUGAUGAUGAUGAUGAGGUACUUCUUGCAAUGGCAGAAGAGUUGGGGGUAUUUAUUCCAUAUGUUGGUGGAGUGGAACAUGCUCAUGUGUUGCUUCCACCUUUGGAAACACUAUGCACUGUAGAGGAGACUUGUGUUAGGGACAAAGCCGUAGAAUCAUUGUGUCGAAUUGGAUCUCAGAUGAAGGAAAGUGAUAUAGUGGAUUGGUUUAUCCCCUUAGUAAAAAGGCUAGCAGCUGGUGAGUGGUUCACAGCACGAGUUUCAUCAUGUGGCCUGUUUCAUAUUGCCUAUCCAAGUGCAUCAGAGCUUUUGAAAGCAGAACUAAGGUCAGUAUAUGGUCAAUUGUGCCAAGAUGACAUGCCUAUGGUGAGA
rnacentral:misc_RNA from 1 species